GUUCUAGGGGAGACAAGGAGCAACUUAUGUUAUUUUUUUUUCAUAUUAAGCUCAUUUCUUUAUGAUAUGAGGAGGACAAUGAUUCCAAUAAAAUGUCAGCAUUAAAAGAGGCUAAUAAAUGCAAUAAACCUUCUGGUGAGCCAGGAAUAUCUGCUCCCAGAAAGUGAUUUUUCCAAAGAUUGAGGAUAGACUGGGGGAAUGAAGAAAAAUAGGGAGAAACCAUGAAUGACCAUUAGAACCAGCUUGACUGGAAAGGAAAGCAAAGAAAGAGAGAUGAAAGGCUGAGUGGAGACAGACUUUUUCUUCCUGUGGGGGGCAUGUCAUGUCAUUUGUUUUUGUGAUACUAGGAAUUGGAAUUCAGACCCUUGCACAUACUAGACAAAUGCUCUACCACUGAGCCACACCCAUGGCCAUCUUCCUUUCUUCUUUUUUCCUUUCUGGUCCUACUGUGAAUUGAGAUUCCAUUAAAGGUGAUGGAUCAAGGUCCCAAAGAAGCAUAAGAAGUAGAACCUGGUAAGUUUAGUGGGAAACUGGAAUAGAAUGAGCAAACUGUGUGCUUUGGGGAGGGACUCCAAUGCACAAGUUCAGCAGCUGAGGCCUCUUGCUCAGGCAGUGACUGUGUCCUCGGAAGGGCCUUUGUCUGAGGACCAUGGUGCACCCUGAAGUUAGGACUGAAGCCACCUGGGGAAAGGAAGAUCUGGGUGCUCAAACAGAGAUAUAAAUACUCAAAAAGUUGUGAAGGCUUGACUUGACUGCAUUAUCUGUCCCAGUAGCAUUCAUCUAAGACACAUGAAAGAAUUGUCGACUGGGACGAAGGGCUCCGUGGGAGGUGAAAACAAAUUCACAUUUGUAGGCCACCAUCAUCUGAAGUGAAAUAGUUCUUUCCAAAGCGUCUCAGUGGAAAAGCUAAGGGAUCCAACGCAUGCUCCACACAGGUGCUUAGGGAAUGGAGCUCAGCAGGGACUCUGAUGACAGAAGCACUAAUAAUGUAGGGUUCUCACGUCAAGGUCGCACAAUCUUCUUUGCUCAAGCUUCGGCACACGCAGAUGUAGGUAUUGCUGUGAGGAAGGCAGUAGUGUAUGCUACUAAGGUUCACUGUGUUCAUGGUUACUAUGGCUCGAUGUGACUUGUCCAUACCAAGGGACUCAAAUGUUGAAGGCUUGGUCCCCAGCUAGUAGAUCCCAUCACUGAGACAGAGUUGAAUCAUGAGAACUGGCUAAUCCAUCAAUGAGUGCACAGUGAAUGAACUCUUAGGAGGUAGGGCCUGCUUGCAGUUAAGUAUGUCCCCAGGGAUAUGCCUGGCUCCUUCCUAGCAGUGCCCUCUUCACAGCCUGGCUACCUCACAGGAACAGCCUGCCUAGCCACUUGCAGUGUCUACCCCCAUAGUCUGCCUCCCCCCAGGCUCAUAGACAUAGAGCAAGUGAACCAUGGGCUGAAAACUCUGGCAGUGUGAGUCAAAACAAAUCUUUCCUACUUUAAGUUGUCAAUGAAAUGUUUAACUCAGCAACUGUUAUUACUAAUUGACCAGCUAAAAGUUCAUUAGAAUUUAAAUGUGCAACUUCUUUUACAGGCUUAUUGAAAAUUGUUUGAAGUGGCAUUUCAAAUGUCCCACCUCAACUACUGAUCUCUCUGCCUUUCCUGCCUCAGUCAAUGGCGUCAAUACUUAGCCAGUUGUUCAAGCAGAAUGUAACUAUCCUCAUUUUUUCUUUUUCACUCUCCUCUUCUCAUCCAACUUCCAAUCCAUCAGCCAUGCUUGCUUCUUGGACAAAGGACAUACUUUUCUCAAUCUAAUCACUUUGUACAUUACCAAAUAUCUAAUCCAAAUCUCAGAAAAAUUUCUGUGAAAAUCCAAUAUUUGCUCUCUGGGCCAUAGCGUGUCAGCUCCUGCUCCAGUCCAAGCUCUUUUCAUCUCUCACCCUUACCAUUUGCAUGCUCUCCUAAAAGUAGAUUUCCUUUCUCUAGUCUUUGUUGUCCAAUGGGACAUUCUUUCCACUGCAGUCCCUUUGAAGCAACAACCAAAUUCUGUUGCUUAUAAUCCUAAAACACAUGGCACACCACUAAAAUCAGAACAGCCCCAGCUCCUGGUUUUCCAGUGACCUUGUCUCAACUGUCAUCUCCCACUUCGUUUCCCACCGCCAUCCAUCUCUUCACAAGCCUUUCUGCUCACAAUGACCACUUUGCAAUCCUUUGAAUUCCUAAGCUUUGCAUCUCUUCAAGUCUUACCUAUUAUGGUUCUUUCUUCUUGAGAUUACCCUGUCAUGGUAGAUGAACCCUCAUUUCUACCACCACUACAGAUGAGUCUAUUCUGAUCUAACCAACAGAAACACUUCUUUAUAUCCUCAUUCAUCCCAACUCUCUGUAAUAUAUAUAUGAAGGAAGAACUGGACCCAUUUGUUGAUGUAUAAUGACUCUAACAGUUCUGGUAGGUACUCGGAACAAUAUUUGUUGAUGGAACAGAGAAUGAUUGGAUGGAUAAAAAUGAUGAAUAGUAAAUGAUUUGAGGAUAAGAUCCAAUUCCAAAGGCCUCUCUAUCCUUUUAUAAUUCUUCCAUAUUUAGUUGUCAAUAAAUCUUUGAAAGCCUUCUUAAAGAUCUAUGGGGCAACGUUGAACACUAUAAAAUUUUAAUCAAGAAAAAUGGUUCAUGCUAGUAACCUAAAUGCCAGUUCCCUUUCUCUGCAGCAUCAUUUGCAUAUCAUAAUUCAGCGAAAAACUGCUUCUGACUUGGAGACAGUCUAUCCUGUAUAAGGCUGAAAGGCUAGGGUUCUUUUUACCCUGAUCAUUAGGACUGCACAGAAUCAAGAGUACAACCAGGUCAGAGGGAUCUAGAGUUAGACUAGCUUUAAGCCCUGACUGGCUACUUCUUACAUGGUGACCUUAGACAUAACACUGAAGCUCUCUUAAACUGAAUUUUAUCAUGUACAGUUUGACUACAAAAAUUAAUAGUUUCCUGUAUAUAAAAGGUUUAUCUCUAAAGAUACUGUUUUUCAAGUGAUUUUUUUUCCCACUUUACCCAGUAAAGACUGGCUUCUAACUUUUAAAUUCAACAUUUAUAGUCUCAUACUUACCUAUGGAAAUAUACCAGAGAUAUAUUCAAGCACAAACUGCCUAAAUUUGAGAAGUGGGAAAAGCAUUCACAUUACUUGGAAAGUUACACUUUUUUUUUAUACCAGAUCUAAUGUUCCAAAUGUUCUCCAAGGAUUCUCUUAAUUCAGCUGGAGGCUUCUCCAGAGUAAUACAAUUAGCUUCUCGUUGACAGAACUCUUUUUCUUUGAUCUCCUGUGCUCAUUCUUCCAAAAGCAACUCGAUUGCUUCUCCUGAUUAAUUUCUCACUGUAUAUGUACUUAAUAGAAUUGAAAACCAGCAAGUCGCCAUAUAAGGUGACAUCAGAUGAGCUAUUAAAAUAACAUUCUUUUUCAAGGACAGGAUUUGGUCUACCUAAGCCAACCUCAUCUGAGUGUAAAAUAGGAAGGAACCCAUGAACAAACACCAAGCUGCCCUCAAAGGCAAUUUGCAGCACAUCCUCACUAAUGAUGAUGUAGUGUCCUGAAUCCGGGCAUUUACUUAACUUUACUAAAACUUGAGAGUUACACAGUCCUUCAGAGUUGUCCCAGGGUGUGAGUGUGUGGAAACCUUUCUUCUCCCACAUGUACUGGACACUAGAUGAGAACAAUUAGUCAGUGGGCAAGGUAGAAGACAAAUCCUAGUGGCAGACUCCCUGAGAAAAGCAGGUGCUAGAUGCUAGAGAGGAAAGAGGAGGGGAACGUGUGCUCACUGGGAUGAAGCACUUCAGCGUCGUCACCUCACAUAUUCUCUCCCACAGAAGCUACCCAGGCUGUUUCUUAUGAAACUAUCUUCAGCUCUUUCCCACCAUGGCUCAACUUGCCAUAAAACACCGAAAGUCCUAGAGGGCAGAUUCAUUUCCAGAGACACAACAUAGGGGACAUCUUACAAACGAAGAGUGGUUGCAACUUAGCUUUUCUACUUUUGUGUUCAAACCCGAAAGUCUCCUCAUAGGAUCACGUUUGGAAGUUAUUGUACCGCUCAGCAACAGCCUCCCGUUGAAUUAAGAAAAUUCUUGGAGGACCUUUGGAAUAUCAAACAGCAGGUGGCGCUGUUCUAAGAGGCUGUGCCGCUUUCAGGGGUGGGAUCUAGGCUGGCGGAAGUUGGAAAGCAGAAGGACUUGGAGAGUCGUUCCUGGACCUACUUCCACUUUCAUACCUGGCUUCAUGGUCAACCGUAAUAUAUCAUCAGAGACAGACACAGAAGAAGCUUUUAACAGAUGCUUAUUGGAAGAGAGAAAAAAAUGAAGAAACAAAAGUUCUGUCACGUUUUUCAAGCAUGAUGCCGCGUGUAAUCCCAGCUUCCAUUUCUCUCUUCUUGGAUGUGGAUAACAAGAGCCUCAGCUGGUAACAAAGAAAAACCCAGGAACAGCUGAACUGCCAGAGGCUGACCCCACCAACCCCCACCACGGUCAUUCCCUGAACCAAGUCUGAGAUGCUGGCGACCCAGUGGCUGACACUUGUCCUCGGGGUUUCAGAAACAGUUUCACAACAUGCUACCUUACCCUAGGAAGGAAGCAGCAUUCAUUGCUUUCAUUCCUUCGUGGGGCUCUUAGCUGCUCUUUUCUUUGAUCAGCUGGUACAGGAAAUAGUGUACGGUUUCUUAGGCACAGCCAACUCUCUCUCGCCACACCCAGACAAUGUUCUAAAGUUUUUAUUGGAUCUGAGUGUGCCAACCUUGUGCUGUGGAAUUAAGCGAGGGUUGCUAAAUAUCAUUCAUCUUGCAACAUCAGAUGUCAUUCUCUGUGUAUGUGUCCUGUCUCCCUAGACUAUGAGCAGGGGAGACAGGGUCUCUGUGUUAAUGACGACAGUGACAUCUUCAGAAAUAAUAAUGGAUAAGUUAAUCUUAGCUGCUCCUAACAUAUGCUAUGCCACUUGCAGAAACAGUAAUCUAGCAGAGUUCUACCCACAUCGGAGUCUCUUCUGUAUAUUACCCCCAGCAUCCUAAUAGAUAAAAUUGAGGGGACAAGAUAAGUGAGAGCCUUCCAAAUGGUGGCAGCUUUCUCUGCUGUGAAAAUUGGAAAGAAUUCUCAAUCCUAAAAAUAUUUAGUGGGGUGCUCACUAUGUCUGUUUUGUUCUACAAGAAUCAUAGAUGUAUUAAAACCUCAAAUCUGGAAUGGAGGCCUGCAGAGGCCAUGGGCAAACUGGUCCUACCUAGAUAAAGAGGACUUCAAAACAUGAAGAACAGUGAAGAUUUCUCCACGUUCAGAAUCAAAAGUACCUAUCACAGCCUUCCUGUAAGCAUACUACAUACUAAACACCAUUCAGGUGCACAAUCUACAUUGCUCCAUUUAGCCUCAGCUACGGUGUCAAGGAUAAGAUACUAUUUCAUCUGUUUCCUACAUCAACAAGCAAGGUUCUAGCUAAGCAUGGUGGCACAUGGCCUGUAAUUUCCGCUCCCGGGAGCCUAAGAUAAGGGGAUCCAGUGUUCAAAGCCAACUUGGGCUACAUAGCAAGACCCUGUCUUGCAUAUCUUUAAAAUAAACAAACAAACAAAUAAACAAAUAAAUAAGGUUCUUUGAAGGAAAGUGGCUUGGCUAGGUGCUGGGUUGGCUGAGGGAUCUCAUGGGACAUCUCAUGUGACAUCACAUGUCCUCCUGUCACCUGCUAUCCACACAUCACUUCUGUGAUAUGCUCAUGAGCCCAGAUGCCACCUCUACAAAAGAACCUCAUUAAUUACUCCAUUAAAUUUUGUUCUUUACUCAUAAAUAUUUUCUUUACAUUCUGACAAAGGAACAAUAAUUAGUUCUGCUCUAGUCACAGAACAAAAGGAAGUCAUCAGUGUCUCAUUUUCUAGUGUGUACAAAGCUUUGCUAUAUGACAUGCUAUCUCAUACAUGUCCAGGUAUUAAUGCCACACUGAAAAACCAUUAAUAUUGCUAUUCCUGCUUAGAGAGAUGAAGACAUUAACACAUCCAGAUCAUUAGCUGUUCGGUCUUAGGUACUCUAUGAGAUUGGAGGGGAGAGAGAACAAUUGUUAUCUUAAGCCUAUUUUAAAUGGUAAAUGUAAACUUUGCUUUUUCUCCAGAUGCUUCCUUGCAUCUAUUUUUUUUUUAAUUUGAAAAAACCCCAGAUCUAUCUCUUUCUCUGGCAAACAGAACUAGUGCUACUCACACUAGGUUCUGCUGGACUGAGGACCCCCAAGGGUUCCCAAAGUCCUCUAUGGUAUAACCGCAGCUGGUCAUCUUGCACCGAGUAGCUGCUGAACUGACUUGGGACACAUUUCAGUGCUUACGCUGCCAUUAUGGUCAAAGGUCAGCCUUCCAAAUGAGUGCUGACUGGCAGGAAGAGCAGAAGUUCUGAAGAAAAUGCUGUGUGCCUUUGAACCUCAGAUCUCAUCCAGGAUUGAGUCACAGUGAACAGUGGAGAGUCUCAAGAGUUUUGUUUGCUACAAAAACAAAUAGGAAAGGGAAGAGAACAAAGGAACCAGUC
rnacentral:sRNA from 1 species